rnacentral:rRNA from 1 species
UGCAGUCGAACGAUGAUCUCCCGCUUGCGGGGGUGAUUAGUGGCGAACGGGUGAGUAAUACGUGAGUAACCUGCCCUUGACUCUGGGAUAAGCCUGGGAAACCGGGUCUAAUACUGGAUACGACUCCUCAUCGCAUGGUGGGGGGUGGAAAGGGUUUGACUGGUUUUGGAUGGGCUCACGGCCUAUCAGCUUGUUGGUGGGGUAAUGGCUCACCAAGGCGACGACGGGUAGCCGGCCUGAGAGGGUGACCGGCCACACUGGGACUGAGACACGGCCCAGACUCCUACGGGAGGCAGCAGUGGGGAAUAUUGCACAAUGGGCGCAAGCCUGAUGCAGCGACGCCGCGUGAGGGAUGACGGCCUUCGGGUUGUAAACCUCUUUCAGCAGGGAAGAAGCCACAAGUGACGGUACCUGCAGAAGAAGCGCCGGCUAACUACGUGCCAGCAGCCGCGGUAAUACGUAGGGCGCAAGCGUUGUCCGGAAUUAUUGGGCGUAAAGAGCUCGUAGGCGGUUUGUCGCGUCUGCUGUGAAAGCCCGGGGCUCAACCCCGGGUCUGCAGUGGGUACGGGCAGACUAGAGUGCAGUAGGGGAGACUGGAAUUCCUGGUGUAGCGGUGAAAUGCGCAGAUAUCAGGAGGAACACCGAUGGCGAAGGCAGGUCUCUGGGCUGUUACUGACG